rnacentral:lncRNA from 1 species
ACGGAGAGGAGGAAGAGGAAGGCAAUAGGAAAGGGGGGCAGAAAGGAAGAUAGUCACUCAUGGUGCCUGCCGGGAGUUGUAGUUUUAGCUGGAUCUUCUUUGUCGUCUUCCCCACUUUGGGGCGCAAGCAAAAGAGAAUGAGAGACCACAUUUCCUAGGAUGCCCUGCGGUCCAGAACCCUCCAGAUCAACUUGUCAAUAAGUUCAAUGUGUAAGACAGACCAAUAUGAUUGAAAUGAGAACAAAUGAGAGUUAUUCCAGCUUGCCGGCAGUACUUACCUCCAUUCCCACCCUCCCCAAAGGGUGAACUUUGAAAACCAUUGGAAAAACUCACUCCCACAUAAAUGUCAUGAAAAGCCCCAUUGUAUAUGUGCUACAAAAGGGAGCAUGGGACUCACAGAAUCGGAAGCAGCUCCAGGCUCUGAGUCGUCAGCACAGAGCCUGACGCGGGGCUCGAACCCAUGAACCAUGAGGUCAUGACCUGAGCCGAAGCCGGACGCGUAACCGACUGAGCCACCCAGGCGUCCCAAAUGUA